UACGAAGGGGGCUAGCGUUGUUCGGAAUUACUGGGCGUAAAGCGCACGUAGGCGGAUUGUUAAGUUAGGGGUGAAAUCCCAGGGCUCAACCCUGGAACUGCCUUUAAUACUGGCAAUCUCGAGUCCGAGAGAGGUGAGUGGAAUUCCGAGUGUAGAGGUGAAAUUCGUAGAUAUUCGGAGGAACACCAGUGGCGAAGGCGGCUCACUGGCUCGGUACUGACGCUGAGGUGCGAAAGCGUGGAG
rnacentral:rRNA from 1 species